AUGUGGUUUUUUUAAUGAAGAACAGACUCAUUGUGCAGCUUGUGAGUGAAUUCAUUCACGCCUGCUAGCUGGUUUUCUUUCCUACAUGAAGCUGGAAUUGAAAUGGACACUUUGUGAUCUGAUCCCCUCUGGCAUGCUCAGAUCUGCCAAGUUGGCAAGGCCUGGCUCAUGGUUUGUGAGUUGUGCCCAAGGUCAGAGAGUUGACUCUUGUGAGCUUUGAGUCAUGUCUUCCAGUUGCACGUUGUGUUCUUUCUGUUGUGUUGACCUCUUGAGCUCCAGCCCUAACUGAGGAUGCAAGCGCUACUGCAGAAGGAACGGUUUAGAUUGGAAGUGCAAUGCAAAGAACUGGAGCCAGCAGGAGCAGGGAAGCGAUCAUCCUCCUGUGCUCAGCACUGGCAGCCACAUCCACAGGGAUUGGAGGCUUUUUAACCUUAACCUUGUCUUUCACGUCUUAUGGGCAGUAAGUCAUGUGGAUUUAAAGCAGGAUCUUAGAGGCAACCUUGAUUUCUUCAGCCACCAGAGCUCUCCACCAUGCUUCUCUGUGUGAUGUGAGACCAUGCAGAAGUCUGGUCAUGACCAUGGAAGCAUUACCCAGACGAAAUGAGCAUUUGUCACCUGGACUUUCUACACAUGACAGAGGAAGUGGAAGUCAGCAGCUGAAGUGUCUGGGAAGACCCCUGCAUGGGAAUGCUUUUGCUCGCGGAAGAACAGAGCAAAGUGACAAGAAACGGCUGCGGCUUCAAGGAACUUGUUCUGAUCUCUUGCCUGUUCCAGCUUGUCGUGCCUGCUGUGAUGGGCAUCGCGUGCAGCGAGAUCAGUUGUGGGCCUGACCUGGCACGAAUGGAGGUAGAGU